CGAUAAUGUCAAGAUCAUCGGUUAUUAACCGACAACAUUUCUUCACGAUUGAAAGUGCUUUACAACCCGCAGGCCUCCUUCACACACGCGGUAUUGCUGCAUCAGGCUUGCGCCCAUUGUGCAAUAUUCCCCA
rnacentral:rRNA from 1 species